UCAACCAAACCGGGCCCUUAGUCCCGCCUCGCUGCUCAGCGCGGAUUGGUGGUGCGGACAAUCUCUGUCGCUGAUUGGACAGCGGCGAAGUCGCUCCCGCAGACCGUAGCCUCUGGCCGCAGUGGAGCACUAAGUGUGCCUUCAGACACGGGGCCGCGCCGUCCCAGAGUCGGAGCCCUUUGAGGUGGCUUAGGCGGUGUCCUUGAGUUGACAGCAUCACCCCGCCCCGCAUCUUCCUCCCCUCUGUUUUGUUUUUCAUCUCUCCCUCCUCCCUCCAGUCCCCGUCGACUGGCCCUAGACCCUCGCUGAAGGCUUCUGGUUACUCCCAUUCCCACCCUAUCUCUUAAUUUUAUUCUUUUGAAGAAUCUGCUGUUCCAGCUAUCAAGGUGGAGAGUGAUUACAGAAAGAAGUGUUCAUUCUUUCAGAUCAAGAUGUAGCUCUCAGCUCCACCUCCAGGACCAUGCCUGCCUGCUGCCAUGCUCUCUACUAUGAUGGAUGGAACUGUAAGCAAGCCCACAAUU